AGAGUUUGAUCCUGGCUCAGGAUGGACGCUGGCGGCGUGCUUAACACAUGCAAGUCGAACGAUCCUUCGGGAUAGUGGCGGACGGGUGAGUAACGCGUGGGAAUCUGCCCUCAGGAGGGGGAUAACGGCUGGAAACGGCCGCUAAUACCCCAUAUGCCGAGAGGUGAAAUGAAUUUCGCCUGAGGAUGAGCCCGCGUCUGAUUAGCUAGUUGGUGGGGUAAAGGCCUACCAAGGCGACGAUCAGUAGCUGGUCUGAGAGGAUGAUCAGCCACACUGGGACUGAGACACGGCCCAGACUCCUACGGGAGGCAGCAGUGGGGAAUUUUCCGCAAUGGGCGAAAGCCUGACGGAGCAACGCCGCGUGAGGGAUGAAGGCCUCUGGGCUGUAAACCUCUUUUCUCAAGGAAGAAGAACUGACGGUACUUGAGGAAUAAGCCACGGCUAAUUCCGUGCCAGCAGCCGCGGUAAUACGGGAGUGGCAAGCGUUAUCCAGAAUUAUUGGGCGUAAAGCGUCCGCAGGCGGCCUUGUAAGUCUGUUGUUAAAGCGUGGAGCUCAACUCCAUUUAAGCAAUGGAAACUACAAGGCUGGAGUGUGGUAGGGGCAGAGGGAAUUCCCGGUGUAGCGGUGAAAUGCGUAGAUAUCGGGAAGAACACCAGUGGCGAAGGCGCUCUGCUGGGCCAUAACUGACGCUCAUGGACGAAAGCCAGGGGAGCGAAAGGGAUUAGAUACCCCUGUAGUCCUGGCCGUAAACGAUGAACACUAGGUGUCGGGGGUAUCGACCCCCUCGGUGUCGUAGCCAACGCGUUAAGUGUUCCGCCUGGGGAGUACGCACGCAAGUGUGAAACUCAAAGGAAUUGACGGGGGCCCGCACAAGCGGUGGAGUAUGUGGUUUAAUUCGAUGCAACGCGAAGAACCUUACCAGGGUUUGACAUCCUGCGAAUCCCUUGGAAACGAGGGAGUGCCUUCGGGAGCGCAGUGACAGGUGGUGCAUGGCUGUCGUCAGCUCGUGUCGUGAGAUGUUGGGUUAAGUCCCGCAACGAGCGCAACCCACGUCUUUAGUUGCCAGCAUUCAGUUGGGCACUCUAGAGAGACCGCCGGUGAUAAACCGGAGGAAGGUGUGGAUGACGUCAAGUCAUCAUGCCCCUUACAUCCUGGGCUACACACGUACUACAAUGCUACGGACAAAGGGCAGCAAGCUCGCGAGAGUUAGCAAAUCCCAUAAACCGUGGCUCAGUUCAGAUCGUAGGCUGCAACUCGCCUACGUGAAGGAGGAAUCGCUAGUAAUCGCAGGUCAGCAUACUGCGGUGAAUACGUUCCCGGGCCUUGUACACACCGCCCGUCACACCAUGGAAGUUGGCCAUGCCCGAAGUCGUUACUCCAACCCUUGUGGAGGAGGACGCCGAAGGUGGGGCUGAUGACUGGGGUGAAGUCGAAACAAGGUA
rnacentral:rRNA from 1 species